rnacentral:rRNA from 1 species
GAUGAACGCUGGCGGCGUGCCUAAUACAUGCAAGUCGAGCGAACAGAUAAGGAGCUUGCUCCUUUGACGUUAGCGGCGGACGGGUGAGUAACACGUGGGUAACCUACCUAUAAGACUGGAAUAACUCCGGGAAACCGGGGCUAAUGCCGGAUAACAUUUAGCACCGCAUGGUUCUAAAGUGAAAGAUGGUUUUGCUAUCACUUAUCGAUGGACCCGCGCCGUAUUAGCUAGUUGGUAAGGUAACGGCUUACCAAGGCAACGAUACGUAGCCGACCUGAGAGGGUGAUAGGCCCCACGGGAAGUGAAACACGGUCAAGACGCCUACGGGAGGCACCAGUAGGGAAUCUGCCGCAAUGGGCGAAAGCCUGACGGAGCAACGCGGCGUGAGUGACGAAGGCCUUCGGAUCGUAAAACUCGGUUAUUAGGGAAGAACAAAUGUGUAAGUAACUGUGCACGUCUUGACGGUACCUAAUCAGAAAGCCACGGCUAACUACGUG